CAAUGAACGAAAUUUCACAGUUGUUGGCGAACAUUCGUGCUGAACGUGUUGUGAAAAUAUCUUUGGAUCUGAAGUAAGGGAGUGAAAAGCUGAUGUACAUAAUAUAUAUGUAGCAGAAGUGAGCUGAGUCAUCAAAGUUCAAGGCCAACAAAAUUUUGAAGUCAUUGAAGCAUCGUACAAAGUGUUCCAUAAUGUGAAAAGAAAACCGAGUGAGUUGACAUGACACCAUUUUCUGGUAGACAAAGCCAAAGCCAACGAGUCUGGGCUGGGCGAACCCGAGCCGAGUUUUGGGAGCUACGUACGCACGACUGAUGUGUGGAUGAUCAGCUCAGAUAUUACUCAAUCGUUCGUUUUUUGGCGAGAAAAGAUGAAUUCAGUACUGUCCGAAAAAGGGGAGGUAUUUGAUGCAACAACAGAGUGAGUGAGCUAAAACAAUGUGAACAUAGAAAUUCUACACAAAUUGCUGUGGGUGCUAAAUUCGGAUCAAUCCGGAAUGUGAGAGUGGCGGAAGCGACGGUAUGUGCUGGUGUGAUGUGCUGCAGUAGUUAAAUUGUCAGUUGCACGCGCUGUUCCUCACGUAGUACACCCAACAUCGAUGUUGAAAUUUUGGUGGUGACGUCUUGAGAGAAUGGGCAACAAAGUGUAUUUGCAGCCGGGGCAUCAAUAGAAAGCCAUACUCGUGCGUUAACCAAAACAGCAUAAAUUCCAGAAACGAAUAUGUGGAAACAACCAACAUAUGGUUGCGAAUGGUAUUUACAAAUAUUUUCGUAGAACAAUUAGCUUUAAAUUUUCAGCAAUGUGAAACAGUUGAACGUACCUGUUCGCAUUUAAUAUCAACAUAUUUAAAAGCAAGAUCGUCGAGGGGUAUAAUUGUAUAUAUGAAGCGGAUAAUCGAAAUGGUCCUCGUUUGAAAAUGUACUUCUACCCGCGGUUGUAAUAUAGUGUGGCCCUAUUUUUUCAACGCAACGUAAGCCAAAUGGAUUUCCUCUUGAAACAUUUAUCGUUAAUUUACAGAAUCCUGAAUCCUGAAAUUUGAAUGUUGAAACUUCUGCUGGUUAGAGGCUGCUGAACCAUCCAUACCUUUGUCUUUUUUUUUGCCGUUCUUCGUUUCUUUUUUUCCUUUGUUUACGAUUUUGUUACAGCGAUACAACAGUUGAACGGUUCCUGUGUGUAUCGGUUACCUUGUGAGAAAAUGAGCUGCGAAACAAUUUCCUAGUCUAGAGAGAAUGUGUUGGGGGAAAAAGUUGCUCCCGGAUUAAGAGAAAUCGACUACAAAGCAUCUAUUAAGAAUACAGUAACAAAACCUCACGGAUUUGAGUAUUACGCAUAUACAAAACACAUAUUUUAUACUCAUUUAGAAGAAAAAUGAGCAAACCAGAGCAUUCUUUUAAAUUUUUCAGUGAUACAGCACUAAUUUGCGAAGUAUCCUGAUGGUAAAGAUUGCACGCCGACAAUUUGGCAGAUAGAUCCGUUUGUUACCUUUUAAAGGCUAUGGCGGCGAGGUGGUGAGGUUAGGUCCAUCAUAUCUUGCACUAAUUUCUACCAUUACAGCAUCAAGAAUGGGAAUCAAAAACAUAAAUUGUAGUCCUCAAAUCUCAUCAGAACUACCAGAGGGUAAUUCCACGGGCUAACUUUUUAGUAUAUCUUUUUAGCGAUACGAUACAGUAGCACCUGCCUGUAUGCAUCUAAAUUCUUCGGAAAACCGUUAAGAAGCUAUUGAACUUGUCAUCACCUUAGAGACAUUGAAGCGUCACAACAUAAUUUCUAUCCAAUUUGGUUGUAAGAUCAAAUACAAUUUUAUUUGACUAAUGCACAAUUUGUAGGAAGCACUAACAGUACGAUUAAGCGUCGUAACACUGCUACAUGACACAGCUGGACUUUUCUAAAAACGGCCAGAAGAACACUUUGCCUUCCUUAGGAACACCACUUAACAGCACGAUAUUUCAACUUGAAAUUAUUGUAAGACAUUUGCAAUUUUAAAUUGACUAAUACAUAAUUCAUAGGAAACGACAACCUAACAACAAUUGCACUGCAAGGAUGUAAUUUAGUUGUCAAUCACCAUUCACAAAUCCAUGGAGAUGUGUACACUGUUCUGAACAUAAGGGCAAAAAUAUAUAAAAAUGGCAAAAGGGAAUCGUGCCAAGACAAUAGCAAUACCAUCUAAACAGAAGUUGCCAAUAGAGGUUAGGUUGAUUUUUAUAUCUGUAGUAUUGUUAUUCCGCAGUUCUAUACAAGAGGAGUAUUGAAGGGAGCAGAUAUCGAAUCCCAUUUCUGGUUACAUGCCAUGAUGAUGAUUUCGGUCGGUUGAAUUGGACAGCCAAAACGGAAGGUUUAGUCAAUCUUAAUAAGUACUUGAUAUUCACAUGCCGAUUGUUUAUAUUAUGAAUGUUAUGCCAUAAACAACGAGAAAGAGAAGAAAUUUCCAUAUUUUACAGCGGUACGACGCAGUUGAUCGGUGCCUGCGUGUACCCGUGUCUAGUUCAUUAGGAAGUUUUUCCAAAGCAUCUAUACCGAUUUAGAUCACAAUUUCCGAAGGAGUCACCAAAGCGACUGUUCACCAUGCAACAGUAAGAAACUGUUUCCUUGCCAUAAAUUAAUACGUCUUUUAUAGAUUUCACAAAGUAAUUGUACUGAGGAUCCUACAUCAUGUUUACACAGAAGAAGACAAAUUCCAACUUAUAAACUACAUUUAAUUUUACUAUUGGGCCGUAAAAUUACCAAAUUCACUUCUGAAUUAGUACAUAUACCAAAGACACAGUUAAAUGUCCAAUUUUUUACAGAAAUGUACCUGGCCUUUGCAUGAAAGGGAAAAUUAUAGGUUUUGGCAAAAAGGGAAUCACGCCAACAACAGGUGCAAUGCAUCAAGCAUUUUUGCGAAAGAAACAACAGCAAUUUUAAACCAAGAGGUUAGAUAAACAUCUUUAUACAACUAAAGCACGUGGUAUUCGAUAUAUUCCAGCUUAUAAAGGCACAUCGAGCUUUUUUGACGACACUUUUGGGAAAAAUUUAGCGAAUUGGAAAAUGUCUUAUUUUAUUUUAUAUUUUUUCGAAAACGUGCGAAUCUUUUUCAUUAUAAUUUGUAGCGAUAUAACGCAGUUGAUCUGUGCCUGCGUAUAUCUCAUCUGUAUACUGGCUAUAGGGAAUCAAGCCAUACGACACUCGGUAAAAAAUGCGCCCGUCGUGUGCAACACCGGUUUUUGAGCAGUGAAAGGCCAUCAUGUAUUGUGGUGGAGCGGUUUCCCUACCUAGUAUCUUCCACUUGCGACUGGUAACACUAAAAUGUCUCGCUUUACAACAUCUUGUACAAAUGCAUAUGUCUUUACGAUUUUACUUGCGAAUUUAUUUUCGCGGCACCAAACAACGAAAAAGUUUAUUUAUUACAGCGAUACGAUACAGUUGAACGGUACCUGUAUGUAUCUACAAGUGAAUAAUAAUCGGCCGACUCUUUGCCAACUACAGGCCUAAUAAAGAAAGCUAUCAUGAGUAGACUGCAGUAUACGGUAGUGCCAUUUCAGUAUUGACUCAUCGGGCAGUUGAGGAAACUGAAGGUGCUUUGAAAAUCAACCUUUCUCCACUAAACAUUUAUUUACAGUUUGAUGACAUUUCGCCCAACUUCAUGCUCAUGUCUAAGAGAAACAUUAACUGUGACAGCAUUAUCAGAAUAUUCAAAGUAGUGGAUACGAGCCUCCACUUCUCUUACAAUUAUGUUGCAAAUUGCAGAAUUUACUCGGCCUAUUUUUUUGAUUAAGGGAGUGCAUCAACGAGUCUUAAAUCUUGAGGUGUUUACUUGAAAUAUCCAUUUUUGUUAAAUAGUCUAUUUGCAGUAAACAAAACAAUAAUAUGACUGAGUCAUUGUUAAACAUACUUAUGGCGGCAUUGUACGCAUCCAGAUGAUCGUUAAAGGGAAUCGAACGAUACAACUAGAAGUGGCCGUCCAUAUACAUUUAUACAUAAAUACUGCUAAUCAAUGCAAACACGACAGUCUUGUUCCAAUUAUAUGUUAUCAUCUAAAUGACGGACAAGCUGUAAGUCGAACUUCAGAAUAUACAUUUUCACAACAUCGUUGGUCUUCUGCUUCUUUUCGUAAUAUGCGAAUCCGUACGAGUCACCGCUCGGCCAAUUUCCAGGCAUUGAGCGAUAGCAAGGAGCUCUGAUGAAUCUGUCCCCGCAAGCGGGCGAAGAAAUGUUUCUAAAGGGAAUCGAAGAAACACGCGUAAGACUUGUUACGGUUCGUUCUCUUAGUUUAAACUUAUAUAUUUACAGGUCUCAUGUGACUUAACGAGUGUCACAGUAACACAGACUUCAACCACUCAAUGUGGUUUGCAGAUGAUCUAGCGAAGGCUCAUUAAAGAAGUUUAUCAAUCGAAACGACAAUAGCCUAGUUAACAUAUUGAUUAUAUGUAACUACUCAUUCUGACGUUCCAAUGUUUGGACAUAAAGAAUAUUGUAUACAUCGAAAUGAUGAAAUCCUUGUUCACACGCAUAGUGUUUUUUACAAUUACUUUUAUGUUAAAAUACCUUAAAGAGAAUUGUAUCCAUGCUUUCUGUUUGAAGACCAAAUGUCAAUGAUGUAAAAUUUUCUGUUUUAAUAUCUAAGUUGAAUUUUGUUUGUCACUGAUGAUAUUUGUAGAAAACCUAAUAACUUUAUCUGAUUAUCAAUUACAACAACUGUACGAAGAAGUAGUCGAUCUAACUAAUAUGCCGAGUGCAUAAAGAAAUAUGAAGAAAUUUAAAUUGAUAUCUUAACACAUGUAUGACGAGAAGAAUAAUCUCAUAUGUAAAUUGUGACAGUUCAUAUUGGCUGAAAUAUCGCAAAUAACUUUGCUUUGUAAUCAAAAAAUUUGAAGAUUCUGUAAACUCAUUCCUUAUAUAUUUUUAACAAUCUUACCUUGUAAUUUGACAUGUAAAAUUCUUUGAAUGAAUGUAAUUUUGAUAUAUUAAUUAACUUGGCACACGGCACGAGAGCAGUGAAAACUACAUACUUCCACCACAA